rnacentral:rRNA from 1 species
GACGAACGCUGGCGGCGUGCUUAACACAUGCAAGUCGAACGGAAAGGCCCUGCUUUUGUGGGGUGCUCGAGUGGCGAACGGGUGAGUAACACGUGAGUAACCUGCCCUUGACUUUGGGAUAACUUCAUGAAACUUGGGGUAAUACCGGAUAGGAGCUCCUGCUGCAUGGUGGGGGUUGGAAAGUUUCGGCGGUUGGGGAUGGACUCGCGGCUUAUCAGCUUGUUGGUGGGGUAGUGGCUUACCAAGGCUUUGACGGGUAGCCGGCCUGCGAGGGUCACCGGCCACAUUGGGACUGAUAUACGGCCCAGACUCCUACGGGAGGCAGCAGUGGGGAAUAUUGCACAAUGGGCGGAAGCCUGAUGCAGCAACGCCGCGUGCGGGAUGACGGCCUUCGGGUUGUAAACCGCUUUCGCCUGUGACGAAGCGUGAGUGACGGUAAUGGGUAAAGAAGCACCGGCUAACUACGUG